CAUAAUGAUGAUAAAAGAUGUUUUUUCAGAUGGACACAAUUUUUAGAAGGAUGGAGGAUUCCAUUUUCGUUCACUCAUUCCAAGGAGAAGGCCCUGCUCUGUUUUGUACAGGACACUCUGUAAUGACUUAAACCAGAAGGAAAGUCCCCCAAAGCCACCAAGAGCAAAACCAGGAACCUGCAGCUGUUGAAGUCCUGGGUGGAGCUGGGAAGACACCGCAGGCGUUUCCUCACCAGCUCCUCACCAGUUACCAGAGGUGUCAACGGCGACCUGCCAGGAGGUGCUGCCCCUCAUAAUCCUGAUCUGUCCCUGUGGUGUGGAGCCCCAUCCUGCCUUCCUGCACAACAGCGCCAGCAGCUUCUGCCUCCUCAUGAUGAUCAAGAGAAGACAGAUGAUCCCAUGGCCGCAGGGAAGGA